rnacentral:rRNA from 1 species
UCGAGCGGACUUUAAAAGCUUGCUUUUAAAGUUAGCGGCGGACGGGUGAGUAACACGUGGGCAACCUGCCUGUAAGACUGGGAUAACUUCGGGAAACCGGAGCUAAUACCGGAUAAUUCUUUCCACCACAUGGUGGAAAGCUGAAAGACGGCAUCUCGCUGUCACUUACAGAUGGGCCCGCGGCGCAUUAGCUAGUUGGUGAGGUAACGGCUCACCAAGGCAACGAUGCGUAGCCGACCUGAGAGGGUGAUCGGCCACACUGGGACUGAGACACGGCCCAGACUCCUACGGGAGGCAGCAGUAGGGAAUCUUCCGCAAUGGACGAAAGUCUGACGGAGCAACGCCGCGUGAGUGAUGAAGGUUUUCGGAUCGUAAAGCUCUGUUGUUAGGGAAGAACAAGUACAAGAGUAACUGCUUGUACCUUGACGGUACCUAACCAGAAAGCCACGGCUAACUACGUGCCAGCAGCCGCGG